GGAUAGUUUGGCAUUGCCCUCUUCUAUCUAAACCCACGACAAAGCCAAUUUCAAAAAAAGAAAAAAAAAAACAGGUGGUCGGUUUCAUGGAUGCUUGCCCUUCUCUAUCUAACCUACGUCAUAGCCAAUUCCAAAAAAUAAAAUAAAAAUGUGGCCAGUUUCAUGGAUCCUCUGGCAUUCUCUAUCUAGACCUACGUGCUCCUUUUGGUCCUCAUCAAAUGUUACUUUUCUUAAUAUUCUUGUCUGCCAUACAGUCUAUGCCUAAGUUUUCAUUCUGCAGUUAGGCAAGCCAUUCUCUAUAAGUGCCUAGUUAAUACUGUUGGUGGAGUUUGAAGUUACACCCCCAAUUUUUUCCAGCAACGAGACAAUUCUAAAUUGGAGCGUGGUUACUCAAAACAGUGAAGAAAGUACUUUUGGAUAAGUUUUUUUAAUCAAUCCUAAUACACAGAAAUCGCUUAGCUGAGACAGUUUAAUUUUAGUUGGAGGUAUUUGCAAGGCAAAGCAUUUGGGUGCUUUAGUGAUUUUCUAUGGUGGUCAUGUGGUUAAAUUUUCACUCAAAGGAGGUCAAGAUGCACCAAGAAGCAGAUUGUCAGACCUUGGUGCUGGUUGACAUCCUGCGAACCCAGAGUCCCUGAGUUAAAUCUAAUAUCUCCUCCUAUAGGGAUUAUAUUGCUGGUCAAGUUAAUCCACUGUACAAGAUUUAGUGCUC
rnacentral:lncRNA from 1 species